GAAACUCUGGAGGACCAGCUGGUAUUGCGUGUAAACCUCUACAAGGCAUA
rnacentral:misc_RNA from 1 species